UCUCGAUCAAUCUCGUAUACC
rnacentral:piRNA from 1 species